rnacentral:rRNA from 1 species
GAUGAACGCUGGCGGCGUGCCUAAUACAUGCAAGUCGAGCGAACAGACGAGGAGCUUGCUCCUCUGACGUUAGCGGCGGACGGGUGAGUAACACGUGGAUAACCUACCUAUAAGACUGGGAUAACUUCGGGAAACCGGAGCUAAUACCGGAUAAUAUAUUGAACCGCAUGGUUCAAUAGUGAAAGACGGUUUUGCUGUCACUUAUAGAUGGAUCCGCGCCGCAUUAGCUAGUUGGUAAGGUAACGGCUUACCAAGGCAACGAUGCGUAGCCGACCUGAGAGGGUGAUCGGCCACACUGGAAGUGAGACACGGUCCAGAGUCCUAAGGGAGGCAGCAGUAGGGAAUCUUCCGCAAUGGGCGAAAGCCUGACGGAGCAACGCCGCGUGAGUGAUGAAGGUCUUCGGAUCGUAAAACUCUGUUAUUAGGGAAGAACAAAUGUGUAAGUAACUAUGCACGUCUUGACGGUACCUAAUCAGAAAGCCACGGCUAACUACGUG